rnacentral:rRNA from 1 species
CAGUCGCCACGGUAAUACGUAGGGAGCAAGCGUUGUUCGGAUUUACUGGGCGUAAAGGGCGCGUAGGCGGCGCGGUAAGUCACUUGUGAAAUCUCUGAGCUUAACUCAGAACGGCCAAGUGAUACUGCUGUGCUAGAGUGCGGAAGAGGCAACCGGAAUUCUUGGUGUAGCGGUGAAAUGCGUAGAUAUCAAGAGGAACACCUGAGGCGAAGGCGGGUUGCUGGGCCGACACUGACGCUGAUGCGCGAAAGCCAGGGGAGCAAACGGGAUUAGAUACCCCCGUAGUCCCUGUCUCUUAUAC